UGCGGAGGGUGCAAGCGUUAAUCGGAAUUACUGGGCGUAAAGCGUGCGCAGGCGGUGAUGUAAGACAGGUGUGAAAUCCCCGGGCUUAACCUGGGAACUGCAUUUGUGACUGCAUCGCUGGAGUGCGGCAGAGGGGGAUGGAAUUCCGCGUGUAGCAGUGAAAUGCGUAGAUAUGCGGAGGAACACCGAUGGCGAAGGCAAUCCCCUGGGCCUGCACUGACGCUCAUGCACGAAAGCGUGGGGAGCAAACAGG
rnacentral:rRNA from 1 species